UUGGAGGAUCUUGAAAUCUGGUCUACAAGUGGCCGAAGUGGGAGAGUCCACUCCAGUCCUAGAAUUUUGGGCCUAAGUGGAUAGUAUCUACUGGUCGUGUAAGCUCCUGAGGAAGGAAACGUCAUCUGGCUUGUUCCCCAGCGUAUUCCCAAUGCCCAGAGAAGUGGAGAGCUAUGUUAUCUCUGUUGUCAUCUGAAAGCCUCCUGGUACAUUUUCUCCCACAAAGCGAAGCCAACCAGCUCACUGGAAUGUGAUCAACUCCCUUGAUGGUGAACGCACUGUGACAACAGAGAUGAACUUGAACUGGAAGCUUGGGUCCUCGUGAUGAAUCUUUUAAGGGAGCUCUGAUUUAUUGGGGGUGAAAGUCAGGGCCCUAUAAAACUUUUUCUGUGGAAGAAUUAGUCAAUACAGUAGUCACUUGUGAAACAUUGGUGCCAGUCAACACUGACUUGACUUUGAACUGGGAUGUGUGGUCAAAGGUCAUGUGGUAAUGGUCGCAUUCACCACAUCGGCCACAACAUGAUAAGCAUUGUAGAAUAUAAACAAGACAGUACAGCUCAGCUCCAUGGCUGAUAGCAGAGAAGAGUUUCACUGCUGCCUACAGAUUAAAAUGAACCACAGCAAAGCACAAAAAAUCAUUGUAAUCAGGAAACAGUAAUUGGCUGCAUCCGUGAGACUUGGCCGGACUCCAGCUGGUCUAUCUGGAGAGACGGUAGUGGAAAGAGCCCUGGGAUUGGGAUGAGAGACCUGAAUUCAGGUGCUAACUCUGUCACUUACCAGGUGGGUUACCGUGGGAAACUGACUUAACCCCUCUAAUUCCUAAUUCUUUGUCUCUACAGCAAUAGGAUCAGGGGUCCUAAAGGAUUUUUCUGAAGGGAAAUGUUGCCAUUCAAAAUAAGACCCUGAAGGAAAAGAUGCGUCUUUCAGUUUUUAGCCUACAAAUUAUCUAUAAGGUAGAUUUCCUACUAUAUUUUUCAAUCCUAAAUUGGCUUCUUCUGUUGCUACUGGGACACUUCCAAGCAAGCUUCCCCUGCCAAACAGCCAUUGUGUUUAUGGGAAUAAAUAGUUAGCUGAAUUCUCAUGCUCUCCUGCUUCAAGGAGAAAAAGCACACCUCCUAAGCUGUGUGGGGAGAAGACCCCGCCCCCCCCCACAGUGGCCUCUUUUAUCCUGAUAAACAUUCCUGGUCCUACAUAAAUCCAUUAGAGGCCUCCCCCUGCUAAAGUACAUCGCCAUAGCCUCCAAUAACAAUGAGGAUAAUGAUAGUGGCGUUAAUAAUGACAUACAGUUAGUGUGACAUGGCCUCUGGUCUCUGGCAACCUCAGGUGCUUGAUUUUAUAGGGAUACUGGCUUCCUUCAGCCUCGUCCUUCGAGAUUGCAUGAAAGGCUUUAGUUGCCAUGUUAAUGAGAUGGAUGAUGGGAUUAGUAGCCAACUUAGGUUUUGGUAAAAGUGAGUCAUGUUAUUAGCAAGCAUGCUUAUUAAGAAAAGUCUCUGUAAACUUUAAUUUAUGGAAAAAUAGGAUGAUUCUUGGUGUAGAUGCCUUUUGUUAAUUAGAAACCUAAGAUUUUUCUUAAAUUGUUGAAUAAAAACCAGAAAUUAGAUAAAAAAUCAGAUUGAUCUCAAACUCAA